GACGAACGCUGGCGGCGUGCCUAAUACAUGCAAGUCGAGCGGAAGUUGAAGAGCUUGCUCUUCAACUUUAGCGGCGGACGGGUGAGUAACACGUGGGCAACCUGCCCUGCAGAUCGGGAUAACUCCGGGAAACCGGUGCUAAUACCGAAUAGUUUUCGCCACCUCCUGGUGGCGUACGGAAAGACGGUUUCGGCUGUCACUGCAGGAUGGGCCCCCGGCGCAUUAGCUGGUUGGGGGGGAAACGGCCCACCAAGGCAACGAUGCGUAGCCGACCUGAGAGGGUGAUCGGCCAAGCUGGGACUGAGACACGGCCCAGCCUCCUACGGGAGGCGGCAGUAGGGAAUCUUCCGCAAUGGACGAAAGUCUGACGGAGCAACGCCGCGUGAGUGACGAAGGUUUUCGGAUCGUAAAACUCUGUUGUGAGGGAAGAACAAGUACCACUUAACUACUGGUACCUUGACGGUACCUCACCAGAAAGCCACGGCUAACUACGUGCCAGCCGCCGCAGUAA
rnacentral:rRNA from 1 species